GGUGAUUUCUGAGCUACACUUGCCAUUAAGGAUUACAAAUGGUAACAAAAGGUUCACAAAGUUGAAGAUAAUAAUAAAUAUGACUAUUUUAUAUCCAUUAGGGACAUGAGAUUAAAGAGGGUUUAUUAUCAUUAUAUAAAAUUUGUUCUGGCUAUUAGCAACCAUCUAUUUCCGCCAAUUUGUCUUAAUCCUUAUUUGCUGCCAAGGCCAAGGGGGGUCGGAGGGGCAAUUCCUAUCAAGUCAUUAGCACGCAUGCAGACUUUCCAACAGGUCUGGAUCUGGCAAGAAAGUUCCAUAUUCAAUGCCCUCCUUUUUAGGUGGAACAGCACAUUCUGGGCAGGCCUACCUCUUUUUGGUUAGUAUACUUCGUUGCUCACUCCUAAUAGACCGUGCACCUCCUGGAUCCAUACCUCCCAUUGUUGGCCUGCAAAAAUAUAAAUAUACAUCUG